rnacentral:rRNA from 1 species
AUUAGAUACCCGUCUAUUGAUGAAAUAAAUAAAAGUCGAAAAAUACGAACCAUAGUUUAAAACUUAAAGAUUUUGGCGGUGUCUCAUCAAACCAGGGGAACCUGUCUCAUAACUCGAUAAUCCACGAACAUCUUGCCCUUUCUUGAUUAAUCAGCUUGUGUACUGCCGUCGUAAGCUCACCUCUAAAAGCAAUUUAAAGUGUGCAAUCAUGAAUAACCUCACUUACGUCAGGUCAAAGUGCAGCUUAUGCUAGGGUGAUGAUGGGUUACAACCUAAAUAAAGACACGAAAUAUACCUCUAAAAAAUAUAUAAAGGUGGACUUGGUUGUAAUACUAAUUCAAAAUUAUAAUGAACUUGAAUCUAAGACAUGCACACAUCGCCCGUCACUCUCACCCAAAGGUGAGAUAAGUCGUAAC